UCCCUGGUGAUUCAGUGGUUAGGAGUCUGCACCUUCACUGCUGGGGCCAGGGUUCAAUCCCUGGUCAGGGAA
rnacentral:tRNA from 1 species